GAAGUGUGCUAACCUUCUAGUAACAUGUGUUGGAUCCUUUGCAAGCUUGUCAUAAGGUGUCCAUAGCCGUUCUUCAGUCAAACAAAUUUGAAGCAAAGGAAACAUGAGGAAUUUCAUUCGACAGUGACAUGAGUUGAAGUAUGAUAAGUACCUGCGGCUGCUGCAGCGCGUGGCCAUAUGGUCUGUUCAAUAUCCGAUCCAUCUACCAUUUCUCCCCACAUGCAUACCUCACCCCCAAUAACCAACUGCUGCUGCUCAGUGUCAUUGAUAUUUGCAAGUGGUUCAUUCAUAUAAAAUUUUUCCCAACUAG